UUUAAGGUUCCCCCUAUUGCAUAAUUUGGUCAAAUUUGAUGGUGGAUCUAUAGCAUUUCGAUGUUUGAAAUUGAAAUAGAUGAAAGAUUUAUGCGAAAGGAGGCAGCCAUGCCUCAAGCAUCACAUUGAAGUCGAGGACACGAAAUAGAUGUGUGCCGAAACUCUUUCAAGCAAUAGGUUGCACAUUAACUACCCUAUCCGCAUACAGCCCUCAAGGUUGAAUCCACGUCACUAUUUAUGCAUAUAUACACAUUGCAGGUAAUUGGAAGAUUAUAAAUUGAAAUGUCUGUUUCUCUCAUUCUCUUCCUAUGAGAUUUUUUGUUUGUAAUAGAACCUGAUUUUGGCUUUUAGAUCUACAUAAGAACCUUGCCAAGCAUUCUUUGCUAAUAGGAAGAGCAAGUUAGUUUAUUUCGUUUGUCAUUCGAAAUAAAUGAUUGCAGUAGCUAGUGAUAUUGUUCUAUUUGCAUGGUCAUAAAAGGUUGAUAUGUUUUGGUUACUAUCUAUUUCAGGUUUGGUUGGCAUGUUACUUGUACGUGUUGCUGAAGCUUUCUUCUUGACAGCUGCUCCUUGAUGUUCGCGCUUGGAAUGUUUUGCUGUUGGGAAGCUGCUUAGGUUUCAUCCGUUGCCAUCUCUGGAGUGCUAAUAAUGUGGUUUUUGCUACUGACUGAUAUCUUGGCCUUUGACCCCUUGUAUCUUUUUGCUUCCAGCACUUCAUGUCUUUACCAUGUUGCCUUUAUUUGGCUUGGAUUUUAUCUUGGAUGUACCAUUUGUCGAGUUUUAAUAAAUUUUGUGGAUUUGUAUGUGUGUAUUUGUUAUUUAUUACUUAUGUGUUUGUUACGUUGAACGUGAGCAGAUGUUAAUGAAUUAUGAA